CAGUCGCCGCGGUAAGACAGAGGAUGCAAGCGUUAUCCGGAAUGAUUGGGCGUAAAGCGUCUGUAGGUGGCUUUUCAAGUCCGCCGUCAAAUCCCAGGGCUCAACCCUGGACAGGCGGUGGAAACUACCAAGCUGGAGUACGGUAGGGGCAGUGGGAACUUCCGGUGGAGCGGUGAAAUGCGUUGGGAUCGGAAAGAACACCAACGGCGAAAGCACUCUGCUGGGCCGACACUGACACUGAGAGACGAAAGCUAGGGGAGCAAAUGGGAUUAGAUACCCCGGUAGUCCCUGUCUCUUAUAC
rnacentral:rRNA from 1 species